rnacentral:misc_RNA from 1 species
AAAGAUCUGAAUAUAGGACAGGAGAGUUGAGGAAGAUUCAGAGAAAGAUAACGAGCAAUCGAAACUUCUAGUACACAUCUUCCUUGGUCGUUUAGCACGAAAAAUACGAUGACAAGCACAAAUCGAGUAAUCAAAAGUCCAAGAAACAGCCCACGGGGCUCUUUUCGAUGUAUCUCACGACUUAAUUUGAUCAUGGAAAGUGCUAUAGGUUUUCAUCUCUGCUCAUCCAACAUCACCUUGCAACAUGGAAUGAAAAACGAAUUGGGUGAAGCUUUUAAAUUACAAAAAAUCACGAUGUGUACUCAAAUGCAGGUGGGGGCUGAGGCUCCUCAUCAACAGCCAUUGCUGAUGCCG